GACGAACCGUGCGAACGUUGCUCGGAAUCACUGGGCGUAAAGGGUGCGUAGGCGGGUCUUUAAGUCAGGGGUGAAAUCCUGGAGCUCAACUCCAGAACUGCCUUUGAUACUGAAGAUCUUGAGUUCGGGAGAGGUGAGUGGAACUGCGAGUGUAGAGGUGAAAUUCGUAGAUAUUCGCAAGAACACCAGUGGCGAAGGCGGCUCACUGGCCCGAUACUGACGCUGAUGCACGAAAGCUGGGGGAGCAAACAGG
rnacentral:rRNA from 1 species